rnacentral:rRNA from 1 species
GUAGGGAAUAUUGGUCAAUGGACGAAAGUCUGAACCAGCCAUUCCGCGUGCAGGAAGAAGAUUCUAUGGAUUGUAAACUGCUUUUAGCAGAGAAGAAACGCCUUCAUUGAUGAGGGUUUGACGGUAUCUGCGGAAUAAGCACCGGCUAACUCCGUGCCAGCAGCCGCGGUAAUACGGGGGGUGCAAGCGUUAUCCGGAAUCACUGGGUUUAAAGGGUGCGUAGGCGGGAAAUUAAGUCAGUGGUGAAAGUCUGUUGCUUAACGAUAGAAUUGCCGUGGAUACUGAUUUUCUUGAAUUGGGUUGAGGUUAGCGGAAUGUGACAUGUAGCGGUGAAAUGCAUAGAUAUGUCAUGGAACACCAAUUGCGAAGGCAGCUAGCUGGGCCUUGAUUGACGCUGAGGCACGAAAGCGUGGGUAGCGAACAGGAUUAGAAACCCCUGUAGUCC